CAGAUAGUAAAUGUUUCAGGCUUCCUGGGUCAUAUGCAGGUCAUCUCCUAUUUUUCUCCUCUUUGGCAGUACAAAAAUAGGCUGUGGGCUGCAUUUGGCCUAUGGGGCUUCCUAGUUUGCCAGUCCCUAUCCAAGACCA
ensembl:miRNA eca-mir-9178 eca-mir-9178